UACAGAGGUCUCAAGCGUUGUUCGGAUUCAUUGGGCGUAAAGGGUGCGUAGGUGGCGCCGUAAGUCGGGUGUGAAAUUUCGGAGCUUAACUCCGAAACUGCAUUCGAUACUGCGGUGCUUGAGGACUGGAGAGGAGACUGGAAUUCAUGGUGUAGCAGUGAAAUGCGUAGAGAUGUGGAGGAACACCAGUGGCGAAGGCGGCUUUCUGGUCUGUAACUGACGCUGAGGCGCGAAAGCGUGGGGAGCAAACAGG
rnacentral:rRNA from 1 species